GAAUUUUAUAUAUAAGAUUAUGUUUAUAAAUAUAUUUAUAUAUAGUUUAAUUUUAUUAUAAUUUUAUAUAUUUUAUUGGGAGGAUAAUUAAAUUAAUAAAACUUUAUAUUAAUAAUACAUUAAUUUAUGAAAAAUUAUGAAUGUAAUUUUAUAUUAUUAGAAUUAAUUACCUUAGGGAUAACAGCGUUAUAUUUUUAGAAAGAUCAUAUUGAUAAAAAUUAUUGC
rnacentral:rRNA from 1 species